CCUACGUGGGGCUGCAGUCGAGAAUUUUUGGCAAUGGGGGAAACCCUGACCAAGCGAUGCCGCGUGCGGGAUGAAGGCCUUCGGGUUGUAAACCGCUGUCAGUGGGGAGAAAAGGACGGAUGUACUCCGUUUUGAUCUAUCCGCAGAGGAAGUGUGGGCUAAGCUCGUGCCAGCAGCCGCGGUAAGACGAGCCACACGAACGUUAUUACGAAUUACUGGGCUUGCAGGGUGCGUAGGGAACGCGGGGUGUGAAAUCCCUCGGCUUAACCGAGGAACUGCGGCCAAAACUACCGUGCUCGAGGAAGAUAGAGGUGAGCGGAACUCACGGUGGAGCGGUGAAAUGCGUUGAUAUCGUGAGGAACACCCGUGGCGAAAGCGGCUCACUGGGUCUUUUCUGACGCUGAUGCACGAAAGCUAGGGGAGCAAACGGGAUUAGAUACCCCUGUAGUC
rnacentral:rRNA from 1 species